CCUUGCUUUGAACCUUGGCCAAAGAAAUUCAAUUUCCACAUUUUUUUAUUAUUUUAUUAUAUUCAGAACCUAGGCAUAGAUGGGGGUGGCAUUGAUGAGCCUCCAUUGCAGUUGGACGAGAAUUUACAUAAAAUGGGAGGGGAAGUCUGAAAAAUGCAGUGCAGAAAAGUGUGGAAGAGAGGGAGAUCUGAAAUUUUUGGAGGAAAGGUGUGGAGAAGAAGAAGAAAGGAGAACCCCAUUGAAGAAACUCCUUGGAGGCUUAGAUCCAGAUACUGAUGCAGGUGAGCCAGGAGCUGCAUAGGCACGGAGAGGGGUCUAUGGGAUGUUUCAAGAAGAUUUAUGUUAAAUGUUUUUAUUAUGUUUUAAAACUAUGAGUGGUCUGUGAUAAAUUUUAAAUCAUGUGUGAUGUAAGAUAUAACUGAAGUUUUAAAUUUCCUACCUUUUUGGGAAAUUAUGUUUAAUGAAUAUGAGUAUGUUUUCCUUUUAUUA